UACGUAGGGGCUAGCGUUGUCCGGAUUUAUUGGGCGUAAAGAGCGUGUAGGCGGCCAGGUAGGUCUGCUGUGAAAACUCGAGGCUCAACCUCGAGACGUCGGCGGAAACCAUCUGGCUAGAGUCCGGAAGAGGAGAGUGGAAUUCCUGGUGUAGCGGUGAAAUGCGCAGAUAUCAGGAGGAACACCAUUGCGAAGGCAGCUCGCUGGGACGUUACUGACGCUGAGACGCGAAAGCGUGGGGAGCAAACAGG
rnacentral:rRNA from 1 species